CAAAAAAAAGAGGAAGCAGAUGAAAAAGGUCUCGAUAGGAGAAAAAUGUCCAUGUGGUUGCCACUGUGGGACACAAUAAAAGAAAAGGCAGACCUGCCAACAGGAAUACACUUGUACACCUCGCUGUUCUCUUGGUAAAUUCAUACAAAUUCUGGAAAGGAAAACACAAGUGUGGUUCUUAAUCAUGGAUUCCAGAUAGUCCUCAGAUUUGUUGGAUCUUCUUGGGUAAGACAUCAUAGACAAUACAACCUAAUGCAUACAUUACAUUUAGCUUUAUUAAUGCAUAAAGACCUUAAUAAAAGCUGGUAUCUCCCCUUGGCUCCAUUGAGAUAUACACACUUAAAACAUUUGUUUUAUACUGAUAGCUAUUUGGUGUUGUUGUGUCAACAAAUACAUUUUAAAUACCAGCUAACCUUUUCAGUACACCCUGCAAUCAUCAACGUCGACGACCAGUCGCUGCCCAGCCAAAUGACAGGAAGCGAGCAUGUUAACAAGCAGCUGCUGUUGACGGUCCCUGACACAAGGCUGAAGCUUAGAGGUGACACAGCUUUCGGCGCUGCUGCUCCCAAGCUCUGGAAUGACUUACCUUUGAGUGUUGGACAGGCCUCCUCUCUUCCUCUUUUUAAAUCGCUCUUAAAAACACGCUUUUAUUCCAUGGCCUUUAACACUCUGUGAUCUCCAUCCUGCUAUGGCGUCCCAUAAUGCACCUGCUGUGAACCUGUUUCUAUGUUUUAUUUGUUUUUUUAUCGUGCUCUGUUUGUGUUGUGCUGUGUUUGCUCGUUUCUCUUGU